UAGUUAGCUGCCCCUUUGGUUCCUGAGAAACAUCUGGCUCCCUGGCUUUUAUUAUGAGGAGGGAAAAGAGUACACGCACAGACACACACAAUCAAGGCCACUCUGACGUACACAGAUCAAAACAGCAGGUAUCUGCAUCAAAACUACUGUGGAAUAGAAGGGGAAAUACCGCCGUGUAAAGGAGGGACAACACUGAGAAAAACCCUGGGGCUGCUGCUGCAGCCCUAAACCGGUGACACCAGUGACAAAGCUUUUCCCCUUCCUUACAUACUAAUAUGUCAUCAGCACCUCAAAAAUUCAGACACAAGUAAUAAUGGCCAGUAUUGGAGAAGCAUUUAAAAUAAGAUGCCAGAAGAAACUAUGAACAAUUCAUAUCCAAACCAAUAAUUAUGGGCAAGAGCCUUGUUAGCAAAGAUAUGUGAAAAUCCCCCUUUUGAAAUAAGUUAGCUCCCCUUUUAUACUUAAUGCAUAGAAUUUUAUACUGAAGUUUGGAACAUUUUCAUCAGCACUCGUAAAUUCAAUGCUGAUGACACUGUAAGCUAGUACAACUCUUGGGAAAAGCGAUAAGGUUCCUUCGUUUAAAAAAUGUGUUACUGCAGGAGAGAAAAGACAAUAUUCAACGGUGAAGAUAACUGCGCCAGAACGAUGGUAUCGUGGGCAACUGAAAUAGCAUCAAACACGCUCUCUUUUCCAUUCUUAUGAUGGAAGAAAAAGAAAGAGCCAGGGAAUGUAUUCAAACAAAUUUCAGGCAUGCGAAUUUGCCAGCCUGACUUUUCUUUCUCAGGAAUUAAUUUAGAAAUAGAACUCGUGGCAGAUUUGGAGAGACGGAAGCAUAUCACACAUGCAACUGAGUAACAAAAGGAGAGUUCUUACCAAUUUUUCUUACACUGAUUUCUGUUUAAAAGAUGGGGGAAGUCAAUAUACUGCCAGCGUUGUGUCGUGUACACGACAAAUCCAAUGAGUCAAUUUUUACAAAGGUUUUAUUUGCACAUUGCUGCUUUAUAAUUUUCCUAAGAACACAAUGUGCAAAGUGAGCAUAGAGGCUGCCCCUUCAUGCUUUUCUAUCCAACACACAGAACAUCAUCAAAAGCUCAAGUGUUGCAGGUUUGAUUCCCAGUCAGGGCACAUGCCUGGG